rnacentral:rRNA from 1 species
GAUGAACGCUGGCGGCGUGCCUAACACAUGCAAGUCGAACGGGAAUCUUCGGAUUCUAGUGGCGGACGGGUGAGUAACGCGUAAGAAUCUAACUUCAGGACGGGGACAACAGUUGGAAACGACUGCUAAUACCCGAUGUGCCGAAAGGUGAAACCUAAUUGGCCUGGAGAAGAGCUUGCGUCUGAUUAGCUAGUUGGUGGGGUAAAGGCCUACCAAGGCGACGAUCAGUAGCUGGUCUGAGAGGAUGAGCAGCCACACUGGGACUGAGACACGGCCCAGACUCCUACGGGAGGCAGCAGUGGGGAAUUUUCCGCAAUGGGCGAAAGCCUGACGGAGCAACGCCGCGUGAGGGAGGAAGGUCUUUGGAUUGUAAACCUCUUUUCUCAAGGAAGAAGUUCUGACGGUACUUGAGGAAUCAGCCUCGGCUAACUCCGUGCCAGCAGCCGCGGUAAUACGGGGGAGGCAAGCGUUAUCCGGAAUUAUUGGGCGUAAAGCGUCCGCAGGUGGUCAGCCAAGUCUGCCGUCAAAUCAGGUUGCUUAACGACCUAAAGGCGGUGGAAACUGGCAGACUAGAGAGCAGUAGGGGUAGCAGGAAUUCCCAGUGUAGCGGUGAAAUGCGUAGAGAUUGGGAAGAACAUCGGUGGCGAAAGCGUGCUACUGGGCUGUAUCUGACACUCAGGGACGAAAGCUAGGGGAGCGAAAGGGAUUAGAUACCCCUGUAGUCCUAGCCGUAAACGAUGGAUACUAGGCGUGGCUUGUAUCGACCCGAGCCGUGCCGAAGCUAACGCGUUAAGUAUCCCGCCUGGGGAGUACGCACGCAAGUGUGAAACUCAAAGGAAUUGACGGGGGNCCCGCACAAGCGGUGGAGUAUGUGGUUUAAUUCGVA